AAUUUUGUUUUUGUUUAGAUAGCAUUUUCCUAAAUGCUGAAUUUCCUAAAUCUAAAUAGUUUGUUUGGCAAGUGUGGUGGCUCACGCCUGUAAUCCCAACACUUUGGGAGGCCGAGGCAGGCAUAUCACCUGAGGUCAGGAGUUCAAGACCAGCCUGGCCAACAUGGUGAAACCACGUCUCUAUUAAAAAUACAAAAAUUAGCUGAGUGUGGUGGUGCAUGCAUGUAAUCCCUGCUACUUGGGAGGCUGAGGCAGGAGAAUCACUUGAACCCAGGAGGUAGAGGUGGCAGUGAGCUGAGAUCACACCACUGCACUCCAGCCUGGGUGACAAAAAAAAGACUCUGUCUCAAAAAAAAAAGAAAAAAAAAAGUUUGUUUGCAUCCCUCCCUUUCUCGAUAGUUUUUUCCCCUGUGAUUAUUAUUACAAAAUGAACUAUUCAUAGUUAUAGCCUGGUAGUAAUUCAUUUCUGCUGCACCACAGAUUUCUUACUUUCUACCUGGGAAUUUCUGCUGCUUCUGCAUGGGUAGCUUGCAGGUAGGUCUUCAGACAUGAUGGCUCUCACAUACACCUGGAAUUGCAUAGGGCUAACACCUCCAUGACAACUCUUGGGCAGUAGCUGAAAAGACCCAGCAGUUUUUUACUAAGUCUUCAACACCUUAAAUAAAAAAUUCUGAGGUAUAUUUUACACAAUUCCUAAUAUCAUUCCACUGUGAUAACCAGCACAAAUAAGCAAUUUCAAAUUGACAUUCUUUUCUUUUUUUGUUGGAAUCAACUCAGUCCCUCUACUUCAAUUCUCUGGAUAUCUUCCCAGAACAAUUUACCUAUAUAUGACCAGUUGUCUAAGAAUUAUCUUGUUAAGGUGGCCAUAUAGGGGAGGCAAGUUCACACAGUUUGUUAUUAAUGAGAAUUAUCAUGCUAAACCUUACCUGCAAUGCCUAUGCCUCAUAAGCAGAAAUGAGAAGGUGAGUAUGAGAAUUCCUUUGACAUUCUUGGGCCUAUUUUUACUGGAUAUAAUCGUAGUUUUGUGUAAUUAUAUUUAUAACCCUAAAGUAAGAACAAGAAAAAAAAAUACUAAGCACUGAUUUUACCCUGGGAAUAAAGGAGAUCAUCAUUUAUUGUUAUGCCUAAAAUUUUUGAAACUUCAAAGGUUUUGCACCUGAUUCUUCCUAAUGUGUCAUCGAGUCUCAGUUUGUUCGAAAAGAGUGGAAUUUUUAAAAGUUAAAAAGAAGACAAUGUGAGUGGCUGAAAUGCAUUUUGGCAUCCUUUUCAUGACAAUGAGACUAACUUUACCAAUACAAAUAAAACCAGAAGUUAAAUUUUAAAAUAAACACAUAGGUAAAGUCUUAAAAGAAACCUAAUAUAAUUCCUUUAUGUAAUAGUAAGGAAACUAACAUAAGUAAAAUGGAUCAAGAAGUAAGAAUUCAAAAUUUAUUGUCUCGAAAUAUUUUAACUCAGGUGAAAGGCAACAAGGCUAUGUGACUAAAAACAUAAACUCUGGAACUGAAUUUCAUUUCUGAGUUUAAUGUCUGGCUCUGCCACUGUGCCUGCUGUGCUGCUGUGAUGGUUAUUUGAUAUUCCUUGACCUUUUCCUCAUCUCUAAAAUUAUUAUCUACUUCAUAGCCUU
rnacentral:lncRNA from 1 species